UUCAUUUGAAACAGUGUUCCUCAGCAUUUAAAAAAUGCAUUGGCUUGAAUUUGUAAUGCUAACUUGAGCUCUUUCUGAAACAAAAAAAUUAGGGUUCAGCUGCGAAUUCGACUGUAAGUUACAGAAUACAACAACUUGCUCGAUAAAGAACUGUAAAGCAAGAUGAAGCAUCCCCAGCCCCUUUGCCUUUAAAAUGCCAUGGAAGCACAGAGGCUCUCGGCAGAACACCUUAUCUGCUCUCGAAAGCUGUGACUCUUCAUCCUUUCGUUAUGAAGACCCAGGGGAUUGCUUACUUAGCAUACACCAGAGGCAAUGGAUAGGGUGAGCAGCCACUGCAGCCAGAAACCCCCAGCACAGAGCACAGACAAUUCCCCUCCACAUGCAGAGACUUUGGAGCUGAAUUGUGCUGAAUAGAGAACCCUCCGGCUGAGCGAGCCAUGUGUGCCCGGGAAGAGCAGCCACUUUCGCUCCGCUGAAAAGCAAUGCAAGCACACCGGUGAGAACUGCUUCCAGGUCUGGGUGGAGGUGAACCUGAGCGGAGCCUGAACGCCGUUAAAGCCCCACUGACUAACAAAAACUUUUAAAAUAUGACUACAGUGAGGAUUUUAUCUCCACAAUGCUGCUAUGCCGGGAUGUGACAGGCUUCCUACCCAGGUCUGGAAGGUGGUUGAUGAUGUUAGGAGUAAAUAUAAACCCAGAUGAAGAGCGGCAUGAGCAAUGGAGGGACCAACCCCAGAGCCUGUGUACGUUGACGUGGACAAGGGACUGACAUUAGCAUGUUUUGUUUUCCUCUGCCUCUUCCUGAUUGUGAUGAUUAUUCGCUGCGCAAAAGUCAUCAUGGACCCUUACAGUGCCAUCCCAACGUCCACAUGGGAGGAGCAGCAUCUAGAUGACUGAAAGGACUUUACCAGACAGAGCCAUAAAAUGCUGUUGUCCAGGAGGCCUUUUCCCACUGGGAAGGCUCACACACAAACGACCAUUUUCAGAUAUGCAGGACAACAGCAAUAUCUCUAAGAGCACACAGUGUAAAUGAUUUUUGCUCAACAGGUCAAGAUAUCAGCAAGCCAUUCUGGCAGCACAGUUUACUACUAUGCAGCAACCCUUAUUUUACAGUUAUCAUUGUAACUCAAGUAGCACAAGAUUCUCCAGACUUUUACUAAUGUAACUGUUGGUUUAGCACAGUUUGUCCCACCCUCAGUAUCACCCACAAAUCCUGGGUAACCAUCAAUACCAUGAACAAGCAACAAGAAUAUCCUGUCUUUCCUGGAAAUAGAUUGCUUCAAAUAUUUCCCUCAGUCACUAUAGUAGCAUUUCAGAAAAGGCCCAGAAUUUACUGUUUUGUGUGCCAGAGCAUCUCUAAGCAGAAGUGCUGAAGGACCCCUGGUUAAGUAGGGUUAAAUGAGUAGACUUACUCUUGACUCACUUGGUUCUGCACAGACUCCCUACCCCACUGCAGCCGUAUUUCCAGUGAUCAGGAUGCAGAAGCACUCAGAAUAAGGGGGUACUGGACUAAUGUUGACCCCGUAGCACCACCUUGCUCUAUCCUACUCAUACAAAAACUAGGCAUAUCCUCUGCCAUGGGUCCAUGGAUUAGUCAAACUAAUGAGCUCGGUAGCCAUGAGAAGUCCACGGAGCAGAGCUUGGACACUGCUGGUGUCAACCCCAUAGAACUUGCUGUGAUUUUCAAAGAGUGAUUCCAUGUGCAACUUCAUCCAUCUUUUGUUUCAGGUGUAUUUCAGUGGGAUGAGACAGGACUAGAAUGACCAGGACAAUAAGCAGAGACAUUGUUCCUGGCUUUGUCAUUCAGACUCCUCAGCCUAACAUUUGCAGUAACACACAAUAAUACGCAUUCUACCUCUGAGAGAUUCAGCACCUUCAAUGGAAGAUUUUUCCCACAAAUUUGUAAGGUACAUUUCCUUCUCUUCUUUCAUUAAGACAGCCAUUAUGCAAGAAGUCAUAAGUGAACAUAGGAGCUCUGGAAAUUUAUUAUUUACCUUUGAGGAGUGGGGACUGCAAGAUUCUCAUGUCCUCUGUUCCUCAAAUUCUAAAGUUUCCUCACAGCUGCCUUUUUUUAGUGACUACAUGUUCAGCUCAUGGGAGUGAAAGGAUGCAAUACAGGGCAGGUACUGCAACCACUGCAAGCAUCAUGAACACACAAGACUUGAAAGCACAAAACUGCAAGAAGGGCAUUUCACUAUUUCUCCUCUUCCUUACCAUCCUACCUGACCUCUAGUUCUUGCCAUAAGAGGAAGGAAGGAAUUGUGGCAAGGAACUGGGACAUAGACUUUGUAAGUUACUGCUCUAGCUCUAACAGAUUUGUUUGAUGAUCACACAAGUCACUUUGUGUGCCUCAGUGCACAAUAUUAUCUUGUCUCCCAUCGUUUUGUCUAUCUCAGUACCAGAAAGUACUUGGAGAGCCUUAGACAGAGACAUGCGAAUUAAGGUUCUUAUUUACAAUUCUUCCUGAUGAAACUAAUAGGGAAGGUCUGGAUCGUAGCAUGGGAAGUUCUCCCCAGGCAAAGGAUUUGUCCAGACACCCAUUUACUCUCUUAUUUUGAUUGCAGGAUUUUGAACCAUGCCAAAUGGCACCUGGCUUUGCUACGUAUCCCACUGAUUUCUGAGGAUGUGAGGUGCUCAGCACUGUGAUUACAGAGACCCCAAAAUAGCAGGCUAUAAGGCACAUAAAGAGUUUUGCAUAGAUCUUUUGAACUGCACAAUUUUUGCUGAUCUCUGUUGUAGGAGAUCCCAUUCAGGAGGCAGAAGAUUUGCAGAUUGGCUUUAAUUCUGAUGUCCUCUAGCAAGAGUCCUCCACUGCUUCCAUUACCCACUGCAGACUGCUCAUCAGGCUGUUAUUUAGCCUCAGUUUCUGCUAGCAGAGGACUUUUCCAGGUGUGAAUGUUAAUGUUCGUCAUACUUGCAGCAAACACACUGUUCUCUCUUAUUCGUGAGCGGGUCCAUGUGUACCAUAGGAAUGGAUGCCCCACAUCAAAGAGCAACACUUCUGUUCCCAGAAGCUAAGAAGCCAUUUUUUGUCAUUAAGUCUUGUAUCCCACUCUGAUACUAGUGGGGCUACUUACAAAAAAACCAAAUCAACCUAAUUUCCAACCUAGGAAACUUUCAGUUUGCAGGUCACCUGCCUGCACACACAGCUGACCCAGAGCAAGGACAGAGCUUGUCCUCACACCUCCCAGUGCCAAUACUCCACUCAGUGUUUAUCUGCAUGCAGAACCCUUUGGCACUGUCACAUGUCACUGAUAAGCUCCUGUUCAGCUAAGGACUUACGCAGGUGCUUAAGUUUAAGCCCCUGAGCAGGCUGUUCAACUACAGAGGGCAGGGUCAGUCAUGUGCCUGUCCUUGGCAGGGCAGGGACAGCAAUACACAGUCCUUGCAUGAGCAAAGUCUGUGUAAGAACAAAGGGUUACAAAUGCUGGGGAAGCAAAUUGACAAAUUUUAUCCGCAAGAAUGUUUGCCACUUUUUUCUCUCUUUGUCCAGCUGAGCAAACCAUUUUAUGGAUUUUUCUGAAAAUCCUAAUGGAAAGACCCCUCUGUGUAGCCCUAUUUUCUAAUAAAAAUGCUCUUGUCCUCCUGGCAUAGCCUGUCAAGUCCAUCCUUCAGUUGACAAAAAAGUUCUUCAACAACCCCUACACAUAUCACAGUGUAAAAGUCAAUGUGAUUGUUUUUAUAGAGAUAAUGUAAAUGCAUUCUAACUUCUGCCUUUCCCCACUGGUUCCAGUCACACAACCUCACUACUCUUUAACCAAAAGCAAUACUAAACAUCAUGCCUAAAGCAGACGUAUUAUCCUCCCUGCCCUGGGAGUCAGGACCCUCCCACCCAAGGUGCAUCACUGCAGCUCCAGCCGGUGCCGACCCCACCGGCAAAUCCGCACUCACAGCCAGUGGAAGGUCUGUUUUAGCAGGGGCUGCAUCACUGGGCUUGGUAGUAAUUUCAGCUGCAUGCAACAAGUGCCUCUGCUAGUUUUAGUUCUUUUUUACUCAUUGUGCCAUACUACCAGCAAUUGCACUCAGAGGAAAUAACUCAAACUUGUUGCAAAUGUAUUUAUCUAACGUAAUAAACAGCUUCAACAUGGAA